CCGAGUUAUACAACUCAUCAACCCUGUGAACAUACCUAAAACGUUGCUUCGGCGGGAACAGACGGCCCUGUAACAACGGGCCACCCCCGCCGGAGGACCCCUAACUCUGUUUUAUAAUGUUUUUCUGAGUAAACAAGCAAAUAAAUUA
rnacentral:misc_RNA from 1 species